UGAUCGAGGGUGGCUGUAUUUUCGGUACUGCUAGGACCGGCCUCCCGUGCUAAUCCACCGAAAAUUGCCUGUAUUCACACACUUCUACGCUUAACCUACAUUGCACGAGUGAAUAAGAUAGAUUUUGUCCUAACCAUCAAGUCUUCCUCUUUCUAAUGAUGCCAUCCAGAUCUCUCUACGUGGCGUGGUUAUGGAGAAACAGCGAGUUGAAUAGGAGAGACUUUCGGUGUGAGCGCGCCGGUUAUAACCGCCUCCGGCCCUUCCCCGGCAAAGCGGCUAUAGCUGCCUAUGGUCCUUUAGGGGUUAAACAUGCAUCACAAGCUGUUCUGGGCAACGAGCUCCUUGCAACAGAGGAUGAAAAGGAAGCUGAGGUGUCAUGUUUGAGAGGACCCGGGGCGCUCCAGGCGGCCCGAGUCGUUCCCUCAAACGCUAGCAGCUGCUCCCGCACGCAUGGCGCCUCAUCCCCUUAGACUCAUCUCGGACUGAACAACAUCAAUAGGCAGAUAAUGCCUACCUGUGUACUCAGGCUUGAACGAACGGAAAAAAAAAGUGUGGGUUUGGAAAAAUGUCAAGGGCCAGAACCAAAUUGUAUUUUCCCCAUAGGUUUAGUUAAUCCUGUGACGCGGUUUCCUAUGGCGCGGCUGUUGCUCAGAACCAAUUAACCGUGCCAUACGCGACUGGACUGUAUUCAUCAGAUUAUUCGCAGAAUACAAACACAUUUACCUUGUUCAGCCAAGUCUCGGUUUAGGAGUUUGAUUCGUUCUGAAAUUUUGCUUGCACACCAAAACACUCCUAAACCAAAACAAAUUUCCUCAUUGAAUUUAAUGUAAAUCCAUUAAUGCUUCCCAUAUCUCAAAAAAAAUAUUUAUGUAAAAAUCAUUUUACAUGUUAUUUUUUACAGAAUUAAAGUAAUUUCACAAACAAAGCAAUAAUAUGAAACAUAAAUCACUGUGUUGCAGCUGUUACGGAGACUCCCACAACUGCUAGCUAUGCUUUAGGUGCAGGCUUUGCCCCGGGGUGUAGCAGCCACAGUUUCCCUCUUCUCAAGGCACCGGAACUACGUUUGAUCGCCAACGUGAAGCAAACCAGACGUAUCAUCCAAGAUGAAGAGUGAACAGAGUCAGUCACGUCCAGGAGGGCAUGCAAGAUGCUGAGGCUUGCCAACGUUCCUGUUGCCAGCAUAGUAUGCACCGUUCCUGUUGCCAGCAUAGUAUGCACCGUUCCUGUUGCCAGCAUAGUAUGCACCGUUCCUGUUGCCAGCAUAGUAUGCACCGUUCCUGUUGCCAGCAUAGUAUCUGCCGUUCCUGUUACCAGCAUAGUAUGCACCGUUCCUGUCGCCAGCAUAGUAUCUGCCGUUCCUGUUUUCUCCUUUGCAGCACCAUCCCUUUUAGCCAUCUUCCUGGGGAACAUUGUUAAAGCACAAAGAACGCACACUGUAGUGCUGGAAACAUGACACGAGUACAUGGAUGCUAUUUCUACGAGUUUACAACGUGGACUGAGAGAGCCGUCAUCUGGUGGUCAAGCAUUAUACCCUAGACUGAACAAGAAUUGACCCCAAGUCUUGCGAAAUUCUUGCGUUUCUUGUUCUGGCGCAUCAAAUUUUAAAGAAUUCUCCCCAAUUCUUGGCAAGAAUCGCCAGCAGCGGCUGUCAGUCAUGGCAGGCCACAGAAAUUUUCUGGUUGCUAUCCAUUCCUCAAAAUAUGUAUUGGUUCUGUGGUGGAGGAUGGGAUGUUGUGUUCCUUAUUUGCUUUAGGUCAAGGUGGCUGCAGCCCUGACUGAGACCAUUCCCAUUGUCUUCCACUUUGACCUCUCUCGUCUUGCGGCGAACAAAGGGAACCCACGCUCACGUCUUCCACUCGUACAAAGAGACACACCAGUCCUCGGCCAAAGACAGACGGGUUAGUCCGCUUCCGAGUGAAAAGUAGCCCGCCCCGUGCAUGACGUAUAUUGUUACCCAGCAGCCGGGGUCAGAAGGCAGAAGCCAGGUCAGUCCAACCGUGACCUCUCCAGUGUUAAGAGCAAGGAAGUCCAAGUCACUCUGCUCUCCGGAGGCUUUUUGUUCGAUGUAUGGAUGCAGAUCUGACCAAGGGCACAAAGUAAAGCACUGUACGUUUACCAACAAUGUUGACAAGACCCCAUAACUGUGUGUAAGAGAGAGAGAGAGAGAGAGAGAGAGAGAGUAUAUGUGUAUGUGCGCCAAUGUGCAGGUCAGACAAGUGUUCCAUAGUUACCCCUCCGGUCCAUGUUUUCUGUUUAGUGUGCCCUGCCUGAGAUCUACGUUUAGAUUUUGACCCUGCCUUCCCUACCCUCUUCCCCCUACCUGGGUAACAAUCCACGUCACCGGUCUGCAUGGAUGGAUGAAAGCGGUCUAACCCUAUCCUCUUUUAACCCUGACUAGGUCGGCUAGGCUGACAUAAGUCAAUAGUUGGUCUACCAGCAUCCUCCCCUCCCCUUCAUGAGGCGUCGCUUGGCACGGGUUUGUGGUCCCUCCUCGAAGGGACGUACGCGCUUGACCAUGACGGCCUCCAUACAGCCUGUGUCCCCACCCGGGGGGGGGGGGGGCAACAACAACAAAAAGAGGAACAAACAGGAUGCUCCUAUACCAAGUCACCGCUCGUACAUCAAGGCAUUAUUUGUGGGAUUUAUUUGCUCAUAAAUCAAAACACUCAUAAACUAAGGCACUUGUAAACCGAGCUUUGACUGUGCAGUAAACCCUCAGUUAUCCGGGUGCACCGUAUCCGACCUCACCCGUAUCCAGGAGUUUUAGAAAUUAUUUGAUAUUUUUCCAAAAAAUAAAAAAAUUGUCCUUCAAAUUUCCCACGCAAUGCCUCUAAGCUCUGCCCGGGCAGAGUACUGCACCCGUAAGGCGCGCCCCAGCUUGCACGUGGCAAUGAUAUUGACGUCCUGGUGCGAAGGUUCACAGGAAAGCUGUGUGCUUCGCAGUACAACUGGCACGUAAACGUUCUUGCCGAGCGCUGCAGACCAUAUCGGUGACGAGAGUCAAAGGACUGUUUAAAUGAAACACACAGUGCGAACCCUUGCUUAACCCUUUCAUUGCUAAACGCUUUCAGUGGGCGUUAGGUGUAUUUGCUGGUGGCGCUAAACGCUUGCUGCGAGCUCCACCCGCACUCAAAUCUCCCGCGUAUGAGAGUGUUCCAACACUAAUUCUCACAACACAGGAUUGCCAAUUGAGUGGGUUCUUCACUAAAUUUGGUGGAAAAUCAUAUCAGCCCAGCGCGGCAAAUCUACGAAUGAGUAACUGGUGGAUGUUCUUGCCCAAUAUAGUGGCAUUUUUGCAUAGCUUCACCUAUCACCGGACUGAUUCUUUGACCAAAUAGUUGUAAAUAUUGCAGUUGGCAAUACUCCCAUGCCAGAGUCUGAAAAAGAGAUGUCCGCAGUUCCCUCAAUAUGGCUGAUCACCCCGCACGCACCGACGUAAGUGUUAACAUUCAACACUCCCUGAACGUGCAUGUACGUUCGCAGGAGAGGCAUACAUAACCGACUCCUAUAGAUCUGGACUUCCUCUUUCCACUGGUGUUUUUGGUUUUUAGCUGUGAUGAAUAGUUUUUGAGGUACAGAGGUUAAAAGAACCCCCCCAUUGGGCUCCCCGACUGCGCCUGAGGGGAUAGUCGCGUCCAGACUGCACGCAAGGAAAGGGUUAAGCCUUGAUGACUGCCUAAAUCCAGACUGGACUAGGUGAGCAGGGCUCCAUCCCUGUGGAGGAGGCGUGUGGGUCUGCUAGCACUCCUGCGGGAGUGAGGGCGGAAUAAGAAAUGCAGAUAAGUACCACCCUCGGUCUGACACGUGAAAGAAGGAAUUUACCAUGCUUACGGUAAGGCGAGUAAAGGGGCUCGCAGGGUUCGAGAGUCCCAUGGGCCAGCCCGAUCCGGAGGUGCAGGCUGACCGUAAAUCACGGUUACUUCUUGUGGCUGGCCUCCCCAUGCUCCCGCUGGAUGCACUGUGCAGGGGGUACCCGCCCCCCUGGCUCGCAGGGGCAACACAGUGUAACUAAACAGCCACAGAUCAUCGUGCAAAUGAAUGCGCCAGGUUGUCAUUGACUCCUUGGUUAUCCUCCCCACCUACACUCAGAGUGGGGCGGCCUAGCAUACUUGCCCGGCGUCUGUGGGCCGUCGGGUUCAUUGCCGGGCUCAAAAGGGUAGCGCCCUGAGGUACCUGCCCGGGCAUCCGUAUAGAAGCCUGCUUAGAGGACAUGCUCGUUGUCGGCCCGGAGGGCUUCAGGUAUCGCUCUGGUAUGCCUUCUGGUUGACCCGGGUGGUAAAGCCCGCAAUGCUCGUAGCCACGAGGUUGCUAACGCAGCUACGCAGCAAUAAAGCCGCGGGUGUGCACUUUAGAACAGCACAGAGCGUCGGCCUUCCAGUUUUGUAAAACUGGAGCUGUAAAAAGUUUCUUGUGGCAGUGCUGGGUCUGCUAGAAAGCCUACGUGGUAAACACGAUGGUGCAGACUUGGGCGGUUAAGCUGCCACAAACACCUCAGCUUUUCUGGGUUGGGUCCAGGCCCGCUGCUGUGAUUGGCCAGGCAGGGGAACAUUAGCUGCUGCCUGUGAACACGGCUAGGCACCCCAGCAAUGGGUUAGUGGCUGAGGCAGUCGUGCCUCAUUGCCGAAUCCCAAGUAACGGAUCCCCCCAAGGUGCAGCAGGACUGCAAUAAGCCAGGGAGAGAUUGCCGCGAGUGCUAACCGUGACAACGCUGCUCGAACCCUUUUCUCAGCGCCCGGAGCAUGUCAAUCGCACGCAUUUCACUCCCUGGUGCAGACUGACUGCUACAAAGCCAUGGGGCAUGCCACAGUAUGAGUAUGGACAGAAGCAGCUAUGCAGUACUCUGUCGUUACCUUUAUGGCAGGCCAAGAUCCUAAGUUGGGUUUUGGGGUCCGUAGACUUAACCUACACCAUAUCCGGGUUUUUCCCAUAUCCGGGUGCCCCCGUGGCUCUAUUAACCCGGAUCUCAGAGGGUUUACUGUAUUUGAAUACGAAUGAGAAUACUUUGAUUUAUAUUAAUAAUUACUUAAUAUGAAUACACCCUUAUACGGUAUUGAAAUGUAUUUGAAUAUGAACACCAAACCCGAAUACUCCAUCCCUGCCAAGAGUGUUGGAGGCUGGAACAGCCUGGAAAACAUGUGGUCCUUGCAAAGACCAUUCAUGAAUAUAUAAGACCAAGGUGGAUUAUAUAUAGUAGAUAUAGAGAUGGGACAGCACAAAGCACCUCCUCGACCCUGUACCACAACUAGCUAAAUACUCACACACACACACACACACACACACACACACACACACACUUAUGGAAAGAAAAAAAAGUGUCGAGGUGCAUCAAGGCUCAACACAAACUCUUCAUGGAGAAAGACAGCAGUAGCUUACAAAAGUAUUUCAAACCAAUUAACCCUCUCGUGCCUGGUGACCCGUGUGGCAAUUUCAAAUGAAAACAUAAUAAUUUAUACUGUUUUGUCAUCGCCAAUCCUUCCUCUCCAUGAUGAAAUAAAUUUGAAGUAUCUAGGUUGUGGCACGGCAGAGAUCUGAUGUUGGGAAGAGGUGCUAUUUUUGGCCAAGCUGAGCGCGUCGGGUGGUGGGAACUCCCGCCACCCGACGCUUUCUGCCCGAGCGGGAAUUCCUGUCACCCGAUGCACACGGGUUAAUGAUACAGGGCGACUGUUUUGUUUACGUUGUGAAGAAUACGAGCAACUGAGCUUGGCUAUGUGUGACGCACCCCCGGAAAAGUUGGAGUUGCCGGUCGCAUUUACUGCCAAUGCGGUUGGCGGAAAAAGGCCCAGUGUGACACCAGUAGCUUAAAGGCGCGGUCACACAAGCUGUAGUCUGUUGACGGAGCCUGUUCAUCUUGCGCCUAGGCAGAGUUUGUUACGGCUCCUGUGAUUGGCUGCACCCCUCCCUCACUCACAUGUUCGCUGUGACGCUACACACUUGUAUUUUCUUCGUCAUAGCUCGUCUCUUAUUCACGACAGACCACCUUAGUUGGUACCGUUGGACUCAGCAGUAAUUGCGCAACUCAGUUAUGUUUAUGUAAACUCGAUAAAAUAAAACAUAAAGGAAAUGUGAUGAGUUGAGGUCACAAGACAGCUCCGAAAUGUUUAUAACACGGUUUACUUAUCAUCGCUUUUCUCAGCAGUCUUUGAACCAGAGUUGAAAUAAAUAAUUUCAUCUCAUAUAGCAAAGUCUCCUGAACGCUAUGGUGUGAUCAGAUCAUAGAUAAAACGUGACAUGACCAUAACACAGAACGGUUUCUGAGGAUGUGUACAGCAUAUUUAUGUAUGUGUGUGUGUGUGUGUGUGUGUGCGUGUGUGUAUUUACCUAGUUGUAACAUACGGGAAAAGAGCUACGCUGGCGCUGUCCCAUCUCCAUAUCCUCUCUUAUCCAACUUUUCCUUAAAAUCAUGAAUGUUUCUUGCACAAACCACCUCCUCCUCCAGUCUAUUCCACAGCUCAAUGCUUCUGUUUGGGAAGCUAAACUUUUUCACAUCUCGCCUGCACGUGGUCGCCCUCAACUUUUUUCUAUGUCCCUUCAUUGGUAGCCUGGUAACAUAUAGUCCCAGGUCUUUCUCUGCCUCUGUGGUGGAUAGUAGAGUGUUUCCCAUGUGGUAUUGGUGUGCUGGAUUUCCCUUCACUGGUAGCCUGGUAACAUAUAGUCCCAGGUCUUUCUCUGCCUCUGUGGUGGAUAGUAGAGUGUUUCCCAUGUGGUAUUGGUGUGCUGGAUAUCCCUUCACUGGUAGCCUGGUAACAUAUAGUCCCAGGUCUUUCUCUGCCUCUGUGGUGGAUAGUGGAGUGUUUCCCAUGUGGUAUUGGUGUGCUGGAUAUCCCUUCACUGGUAGCCUGGUAACAUAUAGUCCCAGGCCUUUCUCUGCCUCUGUGGUGGAUAGUGGAGUGUUUCCCAUGUGGUAUUGGUGUGCUGGAUAUCCCUUCACUGGUAGCCUGGUAACAUAUAGUCCCAGGUCUUUCUCUGCCUCUGUGGUGGAUAGUAGAGUGUUUCCCAUGUGGUACUGGUGUGCUGGAUAUCCCUUCACUGGUAGCCUGGUAACAUAUAG